GAUGAACGCUGGCGGCGUGCCUAAUACAUGCAAGUCGAGCGAACGGACGAGAAGCUUGCUUUUCUGAUGUUAGAGGCGGACGGGUGAGUAACACGUGGAAAACCUACCUAUAAGACUGGGAUAACUUCGGGAAACCGGAGCUAAUACCGGAUAAUAUUUUGAACCGCAUGGUUCAAAAGUGAAAGACGGUCUUGCUGUCACUUAUAGAUGGAUCCGCGCUGCAUUAGCUAGUUGGUAAGGUAACGGCUUACCAAGGCAACGAUGCAUAGCCGACCUGAGAGGGGCGAGGGGCCAGCCUGAAAUUGAGACCGGGCCCAGCCCCCGCGGGGGGGAGGCAGUGGGAAUCCUUCAGAGAGGGAGAAGGGCGGAAGGGAGCACCGCCGGGGGAGUGAUGAGGUUGUUGGGAUCAAAAACCUUUUUUAUGAGGGAAAAACAUAUGUGUAAGUAACUGGACACUUCUUGACGGUACCUAAUAAAAAAGCCACGGCUAACUACGUG
rnacentral:rRNA from 1 species